CGUGGGUGACCUACCUUUCAGUGAGGGAUACCGGCGAGAAAUUGCCGACAAUACCGCAUGAGCUUCCCUUUGUAGAGAGGGGAAGGAAAGCUUUUUCUUGCGAAAGAGAAGGCGCUGAGAGAUGGGCCCGCGGCCGAUUAGCUAGUUGGUGGGGUAAGAGCCUACCAAGGCGUCGAUCGGUAGCUGGUCUGAGAGGACGAUCAGCCACACUGGGAUUGAGAACGGCCCAG
rnacentral:rRNA from 1 species